rnacentral:tRNA from 1 species
GGGUGAUUAGCUCAGUUGGUAGAGCGUUACGUUGACGUCGUAAAGGUCAGUGGUUCGAGACCGCUAUCACCCACCA